rnacentral:rRNA from 1 species
UACGUAGGUGGCAGGCGUUGUCCGGAUUUACUGGGCGUAAAGAGCGCGCAGGCGGUCGUUCAAGUCGCGUGUGAAAGCCCCCGGCUCAACUGGGGAGGGUCACGCGAUACUGAUCGACUCGAAGGCAGGAGAGGGAAGUGGAAUUCCCGGUGUAGUGGUGAAAUGCGUAGAUAUCGGGAGGAACACCAGUGGCGAAGGCGGUUCUCUGGGCAUGAUCUGACGCUGAGGAGCGAAAGUGUGGGGAGCGAACAGG